CCCGCCUCACAGUUUGUCCUCGUCUCCACUUGUUUUGUCUCUUUUCUCCACAGUCCGUCUCUCUAUGUAAAGACAGGAGCUCAUCUACCUUCAGUCCAGUAAAGAGGAACACACCACCGCUCACCAUGUUCACUGUUCUUUCCCUGCUUCUACUGACAGGAGCACACAGCGCGACGGCUCGGAUUCACUCUCUGAAGUAUUUCCUCACUGCGUCGUCUCAAGUCCAAACCUUUCCAGAGUUUGUGGCUGUUGGUUUGGUUGAUGACGUUCAGAUCGGAUACUAUGACAGCAACACAAAGAAAGCACAACCCAAACAGGACUGGAUGUUAAAGGCAACUGAAUCACAGUUCUGGGAGAGACACACUCAGCUUGCUUUGGUUCAACAGCCUUGGUUCAAAAACUACAUGGAAAUCCUAAAGGAACGCUUCAACCAAACUGGAGGUGUUCACAUUCUCCAGUUGAUGUCUGGAUGUGAAUGGGACGAUGAGACUGGAGAAGUUAAAGGUUUUCUUCAGUUUGGUUAUGAUGGAGAAGACUUCAUAUCAUUGGACCUGGAGACAAAGACGUGGAUCGCUCCAACACCAAAGAGUUUCAUCACCAAACUGAAGUGGGAUCAGCAUAAAGCUGAUCUCGCAGAUAAUAAGAACCUCUACACCAAGGAGUGUCCUUCCUUUAUUAAGAAGGUCCUGGAGCAGGGGAGGAGCUCUCUGCUGAGAACAGAGCUUCCCAGGAUUUCUCUCCUGCAGAAGUCUCCCUCCUCUCCAGUCAGCUGCCACGCUACAGGUUUCUACCCCGACAGUGCCGUGUUGUUCUGGAGGAGAGAAGGGGAGGAGCUUCAUGAGGACGUGUACCAGGGAGAGGUCCUCCCCAACCAUGACGGGACCUUCCAGAUGAGCUCUGACCUGAAGGUUUCAUCCAUCUCCCCUGAAGACUGGAGGAGCUACGAGUGUGUGUUCCACAUCUCUGGUGUGAAGGAGGACAUCGUCACCAAACUGGACAAAGACUCAGUCGAGUCCAACAGAGAGAAGCCCAUCAGCGUGACCAUCAUCAUCAUCAUCAUCACUGCAGUGGUCGCUCUCGCUGUCGUCAGCGCUGUCAUUGGACUCAUCGUGUACAGGAGGAAGAAAGCCCAAAGUACCUCACCUGGUAAGCAAAACUUCUGUUUCUAUUCUGUUUUCUUUUCAUACUAACAUGCUUUAUGAGGACAUCACGUCACGUUUGCACAGCAGCUGAAAGUACUAACAUGUCCAGUUUUAUAAAACUCCCCCAACACCUCUUUGGACCACUUUGUACUGGUCCACUUUGUACUGGUCCACACCGGCGACAGUCAGGGAGGCGUUAUGUUUUCAGGCUGUUCAUCCGUUCGUCCCCAUCUUGUGAACAAGAUAUCUCAGGAAUGCCUUGAGGGAAUUUCUUCAAAUUUGCCACAAAUGUUCGCUGGAAAAGAUCCAGGUGCCUCAGAGCCGCUGAGAUCAGGUGAUGGAGGUUCUAAUUCUCCAAGUGAGAUGUCCUCCUGAACACAGUUUAUGGACGAGAAGCAGUGUCACCACAGUCUCCCCCUUACGCUGGGAACUCAUUGAUUAUUCAUCACUCGAAUCAUAAACUGAUAUUCAGGGUCAGACAUUGAUUGAAAUCCAUCAACACAACUGACAAAUAUGACAAAAAUGGUGGCGUAGAUUAGAUUUGAUCUUUUAGUUAAAAAUAAGAAAUGUAAACUUCCCUCUGAUAAACGUUUGUUGAAUUAUUGGUAAAUCAAAUGAGGAUUUUUACUUUUUCUUAACCUGGAGUGAAGUAAAACACAUUUUCAAAAACAAUGAAAGUAUCACAACACUGUUCACAUGUAGUUCAUUUAAAGAUCAUCUUAGUUACAGUUUUAUAUUCAUGGUUCAUGGUAUUCUUGGCUUGCAAAAUACUUUAAAUAAUACAAAUCUAAAUAUAUAGAUCCGCACAUCCACAUUUUAGGGUCUAGAAAUAUAAUCUGUCUCAUGAUUCAGAUUAUAUUUGAGCGUCAGUACAAAAUUAGUUUUCAAGAUGUGUAAAUAUUACGAUUUUAUUUUAUUUCUAAUUUGGCCUGAACAAGAAAUGAAUUAAUCCAGAGUUGCUUGUUUUGUUUGUUUGGUUAUAUUCAUGCUUUGCUGUGUUAUUAACCUUUAAAGUUCAUUUGAGUGGAGAUUAUUAAAGGGUUGUGGGAUGUUUUAAGUAUCUCAUAUGAAAUGUUCUGUUAAUACUUAAUAGUUUUUAGGGACGAGGGACUUUUCUGUUUUAGCCUUGUUAACAUUUACACUUAAAAAAUGAAAAGGUUCGAACUGCGCAAAAUUACUGAACUUAUCUUUCGUGAGUUUAAAAACUUCACAUUUUCUCAAAGCUGUGAGUUCUAGUGUCCCUGCUCGUCAGGCUCCAGAGGAUUCAAGCAGUUUAUUCCACAUGCAGACGGGAAAUUGAUAAGCCUGAGCAGUGACGUUCUCCAUAUGAACAUUUGAAUACACUCAUAUCGUCCUGUUGACCUCUCACACACUUUACCGUUCUCACUUAGUCAAAUUCACUCACUCAGUGUUUGUUCAGUCACACGUCAAUCACACAGAUUAUCCACGAAGCUGUCAGGGGUAGUUUUAGCUUUCUGAUUCUUGCAUAUGGACACUUGGGCAUGCGGACUGGAGUAGCUGGGGAUUCGAACUCGUACCCCUCUGGUUAGUGGACGAUCCGGUCUAUCUCCUGAGCCACAGCCUCCAAAACAUGCAGCUGCAGAACCAGACUUUCUGUCCUGUAUUCAACCUAACCACUCACCUUCAUGACGUUAGGUCCCGUUUCCCCUGAUGAGACGUACCAUUUUGUGUUUUGCCAACUUAACUUUGCAACUUUACAGAUUUAACCUAAAGUUAGUUGAAGCAAAUAGGUUUGCAAAUCCAUUAAAUAUUCUCUGUUGCUUAUAUUUAGGAAUCGCAUUAACAAAAUUUCACGUUUUCAUUUUUACAGUGUAGAAACUGAACGUUGAGGCUCAAUUUUUCUUCUUGUGUCGGGUUUUUAUAAAUAAAUGUUAAAUUAA